GAACAGGACAGACUAGUGGGUUAUAUUUUAAUCAUGUUCCCUCUGAUCCUAAAAUACUUGGUCCAAUGAAGGGUGCUAAUAGGGUGAAUAACCCAUAACUUUAGGUAAAGAAAGAUCCUCUACAAAAAAAAAAAAAAAUCGUAUUUUAAUCAUUCAGAGGAUUGUUUAAAUAAUUUUAUGAGACAUUUCAUUCAAAUGAUUCACCUAGCAAGCAAAGUAUAGAAAAGUUUUGAGACUAUAAAUUAUAUUUUUGAGACUAUAAAUUAUAUUUUGAUCACAUAGGAACAUGCUGUAAAUAAAAUUGCAUUUUUUUUCCAAAGCUACAAGACAGGAAGGCCCUAAUUUCACUAGCAAUAAAAUGUUAGCUGUUAUUCAAAAUAUUCAUAUGACAGCCUCAAAGAUAAAGAGAAACAUGCAGUCCAUUAUUUACGCUUUCUAAAGAGAUUGGUAAUUUAAGACUAAACUACCAGUUUCUGCAGAGAAUUACCUCAAAGAAAGCUGUAGCGGCAUGGGUGUCAGUCUCUUUUCCCAAGUACCAAGCAAUAAGGUGUUGGUUUCUUCUGACACAAAUUCCAAUCUCCGCUGAGGAUAACGUGAGCAGAUACAAUUCCUGGCUCAGUCCCUUUCUCAGAUCAUCUGCUGAGGAUCAACCAUGUGUACAAGCACCACUUCCCAGCCAGAUCUAACCAACUCCAGCGUACAGAGUUGUAGCUACAGUGCAAAUCAGCUCAGAGCUAUGCAUGUCACCUGCAAGCAGGACUCCAUCAGGAAACUCCUGCACCUAUUCUUCAUUUCUGGUUUACUGUUCGAGUCAAUAGAAACAGCACUAUGUUUGCUACAUAUUUGUGUUAGCCAAUCCAAAUUUCACAUCGCCCUGACCCUUCCACUGAAAUGGACUAAUUAGGUAGCUGCUGUUACUGGUGGGAUACUGGUGAUGGUGAUAAUGUUCAGGCUGGUUGUGCCAGAAAAGCAUUUUGGGAUGAGAUGAGGCGUUGUGCUCAAAGAGAUGGUCACUGCAGUGAUGGGAAAAGAAAAUAAAUAAGCACAUUCAAA